ACCCCCGGCAAUGGGCAGAGGGACAUCACAAUGGUGGUGGUGUUUUUACAUUAGUCAGAGAGAGCGGAUAGCAGUUCUUUGUUCAUCCUAGAUUGAUGCUUGCCUUGAUGGCCAAAGCUGGUUUAUGCCUAGAACAUAUAG